UUUCCCCCUUGUGCCUCUUUGCGUCUUUUCAUCUGUUUCCGCCUCGGCCUGUACCCGCGACCGCCAUUCGUAGCAGCAAACAGAAGGAUCGUCCUCUAUCGCCAGGCGUUCACAUCUUCAACAGCAUUGACGGCUCCCUCUACUUACACAACAGGCUUCCUAUUCUCAGACCGUCUCAAAAAUCCCCCUCUCACGUCCCUCUCUCUCUCUCUCUCUCAUGCAUUUUUUAUUUCUGAUAUUCUGGUAGGCCUCUUUAACAUAUAUUUUCCUGGCUUAAGAUUUUCCCUAGGUUUUCCCUGUUACAAAAAAAUGUUGGGCCGUUGGUAGGCAUUUGGUGGUUAUGCCUUUGAUUAUAUGCGUCUUCCCUGUUAGAGUGUUAUGUGGGGUUUCUUCUUCUAGGUAAAUUGUAUCUGGUGUUGGUAUUUGAUCUAAUUUAUAAUUCUCUCCCUUCAGAGUAUCUUUCCUGAGCCCAUAUGCAAAGAGGGGAAGCCUGUUGUCAGGUGAUUGUAGCCAUGGAUCCUGCGUCUCGCAUGAGAAGAGACCUAACGAUUAGUCCCCACAAGGGGGUUGUGGUUUCUUCUCCUCUUAUCAUAAUGAUUGUCCGACCAUAUUAUUUGUAUGACAAGUGUGGCUUCCUUCUCCAAUGUCGAAAUGUUUUGUAUGUUUUGUGUUCUGCUUGAAGUCUCUAACCAGUAAGGCAGUAACCUCUCUACAAGAAGAGGUGGACAGCAAAAGGUGAGGAAAAGAGAAAAAAAUGCGGUAAGAACUGAGAAAAGCUAACUGACGCCCAAAGGUAGAGGGGGUGAGACAAGGUGACCAUUGCAUUGUUGUGAAUAGUCUACCUGGUACUGCUCUGUUUUGGUUCAGUGUUUCGAUCAUUCAUAAUCAUCACCUUUUCAGUAAACAUUUGAUUUUUCAUUGUAUUUCUUUCUUGUUCUGGAGUUUGAUAGGGAACGAAUGGAGUCUAUGGGAGAUGUUAAGAGUCAACGCAUUAUUAUUUUGGGCAAUGGUUUUGCAGAAUGAAACCUGAUAUAAACCAAUUGAGCCCAAGGAUUGUGUCCAUUACUACACAGCAGAAGGAAGUGGCAGAACAAAACAAAUUCUCUGAAGAACAUAUUAGCAAGGCAGUUACAAUAGUGAAGCAAGUUUGAUCAUCUGGGAAUAUAAAUUCUUGAAGAACAUAUUAGCAAGGCAGUUAAAAUAGUAAAGUUUGAUC